rnacentral:rRNA from 1 species
GCUUACGACCAUAUCACGUUGAAUGCACGCCAUCCCGUCCGAUCUGGCAAGUUAAGCAACGUUGAGUCCAGUUAGUACUUGGAUCGGAGACGGCCUGGGAMUCCUGGAUGWUGUAAGMU